GAUUAAGUGUCGUAAGGGCAAUUGGUGGAUGCCUUGGCAUGCACAGGCGAUGAAGGACGUGAUACGCUGCGAUAAGCCGUGGGGAGCUGCGAAUGAGCUUUGAUCCAUGGAUUUCCGAAUGGGGAAACCCACCUUAAAUGCUUGGAAAAUCCAAACUGACAGCGAUGUCGGCUUGGGUUUCCAAGCAUUGUGAUAAGGUAUCUUACUUUCGAAUACAUAGGGGUAAGAAGCGAACGCAGGGAACUGAAACAUCUAAGUACCUGCAGGAAAGGACAUCAACCGAGACUCCGCAAGUAGUGGCGAGCGAACGCGGACCAGGCCAGUGGCAAUGCUGAAUAAAGUGGAACGGAAUGGAAAGUCCGGCCUUAGCGGGUGAUAGCCCCGUACACGUAGAACAGGCAUUGUCCUUGAGUAAGGCGGGACACGUGAAAUCCUGUCUGAACAUGGGGAGACCACUCUCCAAGCCUAAGUACUCGUGCAUGACCGAUAGCGAACAAGUACCGUGAGGGAAAGGUGAAAAGCACCCCGACAAGGGGAGUGAAAUAGAACCUGAAACCGGUUGCCUACAAGCAGUUGGAGGGCGCAAGCCUGACAGCGUACCUUUUGUAUAAUGGGUCAACGACUUAGUGUAACUAGCAAGCUUAAGCCGGUAGGUGUAGGCGCAGCGAAAGCGAGUGUUAAUAGCGCGAUCAUAGUUAGUUGCAUUAGACCCGAAACCGAGUGAUCUAGCCAUGAGCAGGUUGAAGGUUGGGUAACACCAACUGGAGGACCGAACCCGCAUCUGUUGCAAUAGAUUGGGAUGACUUGUGGCUAGGGGUGAAAGGCCAAUCAAACUCGGAGAUAGCUGGUUCUCCGCGAAAUCUAUUUAGGUAGAGCGUCGACCGAAUACCUCAGGGGGUAGAGCACUGGAUGGGCUAUGGGGACUCACCGUCUUACUGAUCCUAACCAAACUCCGAAUACCUGAGAGUACUAGUCGGCAGACACACGGCGGGUGCUAACGUCCGUCGUGAAAAGGGCAACAACCCUGACCUCCAGCUAAGGUCCCCAAGUCAUGGCUAAGUGGGAAAGGAUGUGAGGAUCCCAAAACAACCAGGAUGUUGGCUUAGAAGCAGCCAUCAUUUAAAGAAAGCGUAACAGCUCACUGGUCUAAAUAAGGGUCUUUGCGCCGAAAAUGUAACGGGGCUAAAGCCAUGCACCGAAGCUGAGGAUGUAUCGCAAGAUACGUGGUAGCGGAGCGUUCCGUAAGCCUGCGAAGGAGGACCCGUGAGGGCCUCUGGAGGUAUCGGAAGUGCGAAUGUUGACAUGAGUAACGAUAAAGAGGGUGAGAGACCCUCUCGCCGAAAGACCAAGGGUUCCUGCUUAAAGUUAAUCUGAGCAGGGUUAGCCGGCCCCUAAGACGAGGCGGACACGCGUAGUCGAUGGGAACCACGUUAAUAUUCGUGGGCCUGGUGGUAGUGACGGAUUGCGUAACUUGUUCAGACUUAUUGGAUUGUCUGGGCGGGGAAGCGGUUCCAGGAAAUAGCUCCACCGUAUAGACCGUACCCGAAACCGACACAGGUGGUCAGGUAGAGCAUACCAAGGCGCUUGAGAGAACUCUGCUGAAGGAACUCGGCAAAUUGCACGCGUAACUUCGGAAGAAGCGUGACCCCAAGGUACGCAAGUAUUUUGGGGUGGCACAGACCAGGGGGUAGCGACUGUUUAUCAAAAACACAGGGCUCUGCGAAGUCGCAAGACGACGUAUAGGGUCUGACGCCUGCCCGGUGCUGGAAGGUUAAGAGGAGAGGUGCAAGCUUUGAAUCGAAGCCCCAGUAAACGGCGGCCGUAACUAUAACGGUCCUAAGGUAGCGAAAUUCCUUGUCGGGUAAGUUCCGACCUGCACGAAUGGCGUAACGACUUCCCCGCUGUCUCCAGCAGAGACUCAGUGAAAUUGAAUUCCCCGUGAAGAUGCGGGGUUCCUGCGGUUAGACGGAAAGACCCCGUGCACCUUUACUAUAGCUUUACACUGGCAUUCGUGUCGGCAUGUGUAGGAU
rnacentral:ncRNA from 1 species